CCUACGGGGGGCAGCAGUGAGGAAUAUUGGUCAAUGGGCGCGAGCCUGAACCAGCCAAGCCGCGUGAGGGAGUACUGCCCUAUGGGUUGUAAACCCCUUUUGUCGGGGAGCAAAAGCUGGAGGUGUCCGGCUGUGAGAGUACCCGAAGAAAAAGCAUAGGUAAAUUCGGUGCCAGCAGCCGCGGUAAUAGGGGGGAUGCGAGGGUUAUCCGGAUUUGUUGGGGUAAAAGGGUGGGCAGGCGGAUUUUUAAGUGAGCGGGAAAAUCGUGGGGCCCAACCCGAGCCAGCCGUUGAAACUGGGGAUCUAGAGUGUUCGAGAGGUAUGCGGAAUGCGUGGUGUAGCGGUGAAAUGCGUAGAUAUCACGCGGAACCCCGGUGGCGAAGGCAGCAUACCGGAGAACAACUGACGCUCAGGCGCGAAAGCGUGGGUAUCGAACAGGAUUAGAUACCCUAGUAGUC
rnacentral:rRNA from 1 species